GAUGAACGCUGGCGGCGUGCUUAACACAUGCAAGUCGAACGGUGAACCCGGAGCUUGCUCUGUGGGAUCAGUGGCGAACGGGUGAGUAACACGUGAGCAACCUGCCCCUGACUCUGGGAUAAGCGCUGGAAACGGCGUCUAAUACUGGAUAUGUGACGUGACCGCAUGGUCUGCGUUUGGAAAGAUUUUUCGGUUGGGGAUGGGCUCGCGGCCUAUCAGCUUGUUGGUGAGGUAAUGGCUCACCAAGGCGUCGACGGGUAGCCGGCCUGAGAGGGUGACCGGCCACACUGGGACUGAGACACGGCCCAGACUCCUACGGGAGGCAGCAGUGGGGAAUAUUGCACAAUGGGCGCAAGCCUGAUGUAGCAACGCCGCGUGAGGGAUGACGGCCUUCGGGUUGUAAACCUCUUUUAGCAGGGAAGAAGCGAAAGUGACGGUACCUGCAGAAAAAGCGCCGGCUAACUACGUG
rnacentral:rRNA from 1 species